rnacentral:tRNA from 1 species
GGGGGUAUAGCCCAGAGGUAGAGUAUUCGACUGCAGAUCGAGAGGUCCGUUGUUCAACUCCGCGUGCCCUCU